rnacentral:rRNA from 1 species
CCUACGGGUGGCAGCAGUGAGGAAUAUUGGUCAAUGGGCGCGAGUCUGAACCAGCCAAGUAGCGUGAAGGAUGACUGCCCUACGGGUUGUAAACUUCUUUUAUAAAGGAAUAAAGUGAGGCUCGUGUGCCUUUUUGUAUGUACUUUAUGAAUAAGGAUCGCCUAACUACGCGCCAGCAGCCGCGGUAAUACGGAGGAUCCGAGGGUUAUCCGGAUUUAUUGGGUUUAAAGGGAGCGUAGAUGGGUUGUUAAGUCAGAUGUGAAAGUCUGCGGCUCAACCGUAGAAUUGCAAUUGAUACUGGCGGUCUUGAGUACAGUAGAGGUAGGCGGAAUUCGUGGUGUAGCGGUGAAAUGCUUAGAUAUCACGAAGAACUCCGAUUGCGAAGGCAGCUUACUGGACUGCAACUGACACUGAUGCUCGAAAGUGUGGGUAUCAAACAGGAUUAGAUACCCUGGUAGUC